UUUAGCUGCAUAUGUAUCAAAAGAUGGCCUAGUCGGCCAUCACUGCAAAGAGAGGCACAUUGGACUUGCAAACUUUAUAUGCCCCAGUACAGGGGAACGCCAGGGCCAAAAAGGGGGAGUGGGUGGGUAGGGGAUUGGGGGAGUGGGUAUGGGGGACCUUUGGGAUAGCAUUGAAAAUGUAAAUGAGGAAAAUAACUAAUUAAAAAAAAAAAGGAAGCCAGAGACUCAAGUGCUGUAUCUGUUUAUCUGAACAAUUUAUAGGCAUCUAAGUGACAGGUCAUCUAAUAACACUGUUUUUCUGUUUAGUUCUGCAUUGUUACAUUGCCAGAAAACAAUAGGCUGGAUAGUUUCUCUUUAAAUCCCCAUAGAAUUCCCUUCUCAGUGUUAUAGUUUAAUGUCUUAUCCUUGGAUUUUUUUUUUUUUGCUUUGUUUUUACUGAGGUUAAUGUAAGAAAUACACAGUGGCCUGGGGAGAUGGCUCAAUAGUUAAAAGUACUACCUGGUUUUCCAGAAGACCCACAUAGAUCCAUAUAGAAGCUGACAACCUUUCAUAACUCCAGUUCUGGGAGAUUCGCUUCUCUACAAAAAUUAGUUUUUGUGCCCUUCUUGCCUAUACAAUUAUCCUUUAUCUAUUUCCGUGAGCCUCUUUUAAGAAAAAUGUAAUUGUGGAAUAUAGUUCCUCCUCCCAGCAAAUGUGUGUAUGCUUCCUUUAUUGAUGGUUAUGCAUCUACUUCCAUGGGCUUUAUCUCCCAUUGUUUAUCUUUAUCAAUCUCCCCAUUUAAUAAACUUAAUCUCUCUUCUUCUACAUCAUGUGGAAAGGUCCUUUCAUUGCUAUAAAGUGUCUACAGAAAUAUACUAACAUCUUGGGGUAGACAUGCCAUGCACAAUUCUUCCUUCCUUCCUUCCUUCCUUCCUUCCUUCCUUCCUUCCUUCCUUCCUUCCUUCCUUCCUUCCUUCCUUCCUUCCUUCCCCCACCCCCCCCCUCUCUCUCUCUCCAUUUCUUUCUUUCAUUAUUUUUUUCUGGUGUCACUUCUAGUUAAAUAAAAGACUGUGACUCAGAGACAGUAAGUGGCCUGGGAGGCACCUUACAGUGACAGCCACAGCAGAAUGAAUGACCGGGAGUAAAUUUUGUUAUCAGUGGAAGAAGCGUCGGAGAGCAAAACUAUGCUUAAAAGGGAAGCAAAUGAUUUCUGGCCCACUUGAAAACACAUAUACUAAGCUAAUUGACUAAAAAUCGAAAUGAACAACAUCAAUCUUUCAACUUAAAGGGUUGGAUUGAGUUUUUGAGUUAGGUGUCAUUUGUCCAUGUUUUACUACAUGAAUGAUCUCUUAAAAGGCCCACAGAAGCCAUCCUUUUGUUAGGGCAAACUCCCAAAACAAUACUCCAUGUCUACAAAGAGAGGUUUAAGUAGCAAAAGAAUCCUUAAUUUUCAGAAUUGGUAAUUUAGACCCAAUAGUUAUUUUAAAUUCUAAUUGAAAUGAUACAUUUAUUGAGACAAUCUGUUAUUUCUCACAGUUUCAUUAGUAAAAUAAUUAAAAAUUUAAAGACUUUUUCUUUGUUCACAAAAAUGUAUUCCACUAUUUUAAAAGAGUUUGAAAAUGGGGAGGGAGUGGCAGGACCUAUGGCCCAGUGGUUAAGAGCACUUGGCUGUUCUUGCUGAGUACCCAGAUUCCAGUUCCCACAAAGCAACCCACAGCCCUCUGUAAUUUCAGUUCCAGGGGAUCUGAUGCCCUAUUUUAUUCUCCAUAGGAAAAGGCAUAGUAGUGGUACAUAGACAUGCAUGC
rnacentral:lncRNA from 1 species